CCCAUAGCAGUGGACAACGUGUACUGAUGAGUACUAAGCGAAAAGCUUCUGUGCUAUGUUAUUCAUGGCGUGUGCCAGGGAAAUACCUACACAAGUGAAUGCAAUACCAUGCAUCUGCACUGUUUUAGGAUGCAUGAAGACCUAAAGUACACAAAUAUAAUCUGACAGAAUACUGUAAGUUAAAAAAAAAAAAAAAAAGCUAAUUUUCUCAAUGCCAAGAUCUCUCCUUAUAGCCCAGUUUUCUGCAGAUGAGUAUGUAAGUAAAUGCAUUGUUUUCCAUAAGAUUCAUACUGGUGAGGUUAAGAUGCACUAUUCUCAGGUCAGGGUAAUGUUUGUCUUCCGAAGAGAAGUGUUCAGCAUUUAUUUAUUUAUUUAUUUACUUUUCUUACUUCUGUAACAGCAAGUGCAGUAAAUAUUGUGUUACAUGAGAAUGACUGAUAGCAGAGAGACUGUUACAAGCCGUUCCUCUUAGUGCAAUGUAGGCUACUUUCUGUUAGGUAAGUAGAAUGCCUUUCAAGGUAAAAAAGUUGCAGUUUCUUUAAGUCUUUACUCUGAGAUAUAAACCUGUUCUUUAAUAAUAUAGUCAGUGUGUAGCCUUGUUAGCACAGCCUCCCAAGACAGUAUUUCUUUAUCCUAAUAAGGUGAAAGAACUUGUAGUAUAAUAACUCACUCUGCAACUAGGUUAACUUCAAUUUUUUAUUAAGACAGAGGCCAUUAAGCUGUAGUUGCAGUUAGAUACAGAAAAAAUCAGUGUUAACCAUAUCAAGAUUUUCUCUGACACCUUCCCUACAUUGCUUUACAUAUUUUUUAGUAAUACUUAAGAAAUAUUUCUCUCAAGUGUCAGCGUGAUCGCUUUCUUAUAACUAUUUUGUGCUAGAAUUACCUCGGCAAUGUAUGACUCUGCAAAUGAAAAAACUGAUGUACUGAUCAGCUUUAGUCAGCUACUAUAGCUCAGGUCAGCUUUUGGGAAACUCAGUAAUGUUCUUGAGCAUUCACUGAUUGCUUCACUUGAAUCCAAGGACACCCAGCAGUAAACAGCAGAGGACCCAGAGGAGAGCAAGCAAAGCUGAAUUAGGAGCAGUUUGAGCAUCUCCAGUUCCUGAAAGUUA
ensembl:lncRNA